CAUAUCUAAGAGUUCUUGGGGUGUCUUUGCUGUGUUCCAAGCUUCUGUUCCCGGCUUGCUUCUCCCCCAGGCUUCUGUUGCUUGCUCAGUGUUCUGCUUUGGAUGUGAAAUGUUCCCCCAGGGGUUCGUGUGUUUGAAUACAUGAUCUCCGGGUAGAUGGUGGAACCUUUAGGAGAUGGAGCCUUACUAGAGAAAGUCGGUUACUUAGGGAGGGUCUUGAGGCUCUGUGAGUUUUUUGUUUGAGACAGGGUCUUGUGUGGCCCAUGUUGGAUCUAAAUUCUAUAGGUAGCUGAAGUUGACCUUCGACUCCUGAUCUUCCCGGCUCCAACUCCCAAGUGCUGGGACACAGGCGUGCACCGAUAUGCCCAGCUGACCCUUAUUGGAAUAUGUCCCCAGCACCAGGGUCCAGGUGGAGCCGGACGCCGCCCCCUGGUGGCAGUGCGAGUCUGCGCUCAGGGCUUGGUAAAGACCUUGCGGCGCCGCUAGCUGAUUGGCCGGCAGGGUAUCCAGGUGCUUUGCAAGUCGGCUGAUGCUGGUGGUCCUCAGACUGCAGCCCCGGCCCUGCCCCUCGGGAUUCAAGUCCAGACUGGGACCAGCAAAGCUGACUUGUGAACCUGGGGAGUUUCCCGUUUCUCUCCCAUUUUUGUUGUGGUCGUGAAUUCCUCCUGGACUCAGGAUGGCGAUCCGACACCAAGGCCAGCAGUACAGCAGUACAGCCUGAGGGUGACUGUCCUGCGAGGUCCUCACCUGGCCUUUCUGACGAGUGAGCAGGGAUUCAGUCUGUGGAGUGUCCAAGGAAGACUGCACAAGGCAGACGGAAUUCCUCCAGGUCGAUCCUCCCUGAUUGUGUAGGUGUCCAGAGCUGCCUCUUGGUCCUGAAUCAUCGGGACCUGCUGGGCAAAAUGUCAGAAAGGCAGCGCCUGUCACCAGCCACAGACUCAGAGACUGGUAAAUAGACACCCACGUGUUAAUUUCAUUGCACUCAUAAGUUGCCGUAUCUGACCAUGUGAUGUUCGAGAGUAAAAACAUUUUUCACAUGUUGGCCGCAAUACCCGCACAGCUCGGAAGGCCGUGGCCACCAUCUUCCACUCGCUGCCUCAACUUGUUUGGAUUUGAGUCGAAAGGUCAGAUCCUCCAACCUCAUCCGGUGUUCUUUGCUCUUAGAUAGUUAACCAGUGUGCUCAUGGACCAGUGAGGCAGCGGGUGAGGAGCUAAAGACGUGUUACCGGCUUUCUUAAAGAUGUCCCAGGCUAAAGUGGUCCAUCUAAGGCAGUUUAACAGAGCCCAGCUUGAGUGUUGUAGACUUACUGUGGACUGGGUCCCACCACAAAGACCCUCAGGGGUCCCUUGUCAGAUGUGCCCGUUUCCUGGCUGAGACGGGCCCUUUGGGCAGCCAGUGGCAGAGCUGGCUGUAGGCAGUGUAGCUAGUGUUAGCAUCUGGCCUGAGCUUCCCUGCCCAAAGAGGGCUGACUUGGUCCCUAAGACAGUACUGUGAUACAAUUGUCCUGAGUGCCAAGAAGUGAACGCCGAGAGGGUCACCCUGCAAAUGACCUAGAAGGGAGCAACGGGAGAAAUAUAAGGCUUCCUUCCCUGUUAGGUGGCCUGUCUGAGGAAAGAGUUUGCACUGAAUUUCCAAUUGUUUACUGGUCUGUUCCCACGGUUUGUUUCGCUUACCUGUUUAAUCCUAACUAGUACCACCUGCCCCGGGGUGGCUUCCGCAGCAAUCAACAAUCGAGAAAACGCGCCACCAAUAUGUUCCCAGGCCAGUCUCAGCUGAAGUUCUCUCUUCUUAGGCAAUUUUACUUUGGGUCGAGCUGGCAACACAAGCAACGUGAGGUGCCAAGGUGGACGCCUUUAGGAUAAAGGAAGUGCUUAAGAGUAGAUAUUUACUUUAUCUUGCAUGGAGUGCCAAUAAUGGAUUCGGAAAGAGCGGGACGUGGCUUCCACGGGUCCUAAAGGGUGUGGGAGUGUUCUGGCUGCAGGGAAGGUGGCAUGAAGGCGAACCAUGAACGUUCUGAGGAGCCUGUUUUCCAGGCCGGUUCUUACUAGGCACCACAUAGCUAUGUCCAGUGGGCCAGUUCUGUUUCUAGGUGAAGGUUCUGGGGGAUUUGAGACACACAUUAGCCUGGUACUGAGACUGUGAUAGGAAUGCCAGAUGUUUCUGGAUCCAGCUACUGGACUCUCGUGGACUCAGGCAUGUGAGCCAUGAAUGGUGGUGGGCUGUGUGUCUGCUGAAGAACGGAGUCCCGUGGUUUUGGAUCAUUCUUUGCAUCUUUCCACUGCCAAGUACAUGGUUAUGAUGGUCCCCUAGGGAGUCCUCUCCGGUUUAUAGGAAAAUUCUGGUCUUUGGGGUCUUUUGGAGAGUGACAGCUACUCAGAAAGCAGCUGUGAGCAUGGAAGAGCAAGGAGGCUUUUGUUUACUGCCUGGGCCCUUAUAUACACUCAGUGUUGUGUCUUGGUUAGCUGGAGACUGAAAGGGGACACCCUAGGCCUAGCAUAGACUCACAGGGGCUCUUGCUGCAUGUAUUGUGGCUUUUGGAAAGAAUUGUGGAUAGAUCAUGCUUCUGGGAGAACCAGGGAGCUGCGAUCCACUCAGUGGAUGAGGCGGUAUGGGGAUGUGGCACAGCCUAUGGAGAAGGGCGGAAAGCGCCACGUGCCUCGCGGAAGCCCCCAGCAGCGCCCUUUUUAGGGAGCUUUAAAACCGCGCUGGGUCUCCUGUUAUUGAAACAAAGGACAUGACCAAGGUCACCUUGCCAAGGUCAUUUCAGACCCAAGGGGGCAGUUAUACUUUCUGCAUUUUUGAUUUAUUGUAAUUUGGUUGGUCUUUGUCCCACCCCCAACAAUAUUCUCCUCCUCCAUGCCCUCUUCUUCCUUCUCCUUUUUUUCCUCUUUCUUCUGAUAAACAGCGUUUCACCUGCCCCAGAUUAUAUGAGUUCCACAUAGGGCUAAGGUUGAACUUAAAUGCCUUUGUUUAAAAAAAAUAUUUAUUUGUAUUUUAUGUG